rnacentral:rRNA from 1 species
AGCUCUGUAAGCGUAUACCAAAGUUGUUGCAGUUAAAACGCUCGUAGUCGGAUUUUGGCGUGGUGCUUCUGAGAUGCCUGAUUUUGGGUGUCAAUAUUGUAGUCCCGCCUUUGUGGAGGGGGGUGUGGUGGUGCUUUAUUGUAUUGCUGCAUUUCCGCCACUGUUUACUGUGAAAAAAUUAGAGUGUUCAAAGCGAGCGAUUGCCAUGAAUACAUUAGCAUGGAAUAAUAGAAUAGGACCUGGUUCUGUUUUGUUGGUUUGUCGGUGUCAGGUAAUGAUUAAGAGGGACGGUCGGGGGCAUUUGUAUUCCAGGGCCAGAGGUGAAAUUCUUAGAUCCUUGGAAGACAAACAGCUGCGAAAGCGUCUGCCAAGGACGUUUUCAUUGAUCAAGAACGAAAGU